AGGAAAUUUCUGGUGGGCCUUCGCGGCUCCGCUGGGUUGGCAGCCGCUUGAGCCACUGCGAGGAAAGCAAAGUCUGGGCCAUGGAGAUGAGCCUAGUCCUGCUGUUCCUGAUCCGCACUGCCCUUUUUGCACCCCAGGGAGCUGCUGCUGCCUGCCCAUCCU